CAAAACUGAUGACGGCGACGCGUGUCACACGCACGUGAUGAUCCACUCAACACUGUCUUUUCUUUUCUAAAACUCAGAUCCAAUUUUAUGUCAUUCAUGAUUCAUAACUUGUGUGUGUGACUGUGCUGCUUAGAUUUUCCUUUCUUCGAACAAGGGUUUACUUCAAAUGCCACCUUCGACGACGGCGCGUGGGUGUGAAGCGCUGUGUUAUUAGGAAACAAGGUGAGAUAGAAGUGUACAGAGAAUUUGGACCACAUGAUCUACUUAUGGCCAUGACGAACGAAGUAAGCAAGCAUUCCCUUCUUCCAUUUUC